AUACGGAGGGUGCAAGCGUUACUCGGAAUUACUGGGCGUAAAGGACGCGUAGGCGGUUUAGAAAGUCAGAUGUGAAAGCCUAUGGCUUAACCAUAGAACUGCAUUUGAAACUUCCAAACUAGAGUGGGGGAGAGGUCAGUGGAAUUAGUGGUGUAGGGGUAAAAUCCGUAGAGAUCACUAGGAAUACUCAUUGCGAAGGCGACUGACUGGAACUUAACUGACGCUGAGGCGUGAAAGCGUGGGGAGCGAACAGGAUUAGAUACCCUAGUAGUCC
rnacentral:rRNA from 1 species